AUCUACGGCCAUGCCACCCUGAACGUGCCUGAUCUCCUCUGAUCUCGGAAGCUAAGCAGGGUCGGGUCUGGCUAGUACUUGAAUGAGAGUCCACGCAGGAAGACCAGGUGCUGUAGGCA
rnacentral:rRNA from 1 species